GUGUUACUGCGAAGGGGGGACGGAGAAGGCUAUGUUGGCCGGGCGACGGUUGUCCCGGUUUAAGCGUGUAGGUGUGUGUUCCAGGUAAAUCCGGUUCACUUUAACACUGAGGCGUGACGACGAGGCACUACGGUGCUGAAGCAACAAAUGCCCUGCUUCCAGGAAAAGCCUCUAAGCAUCAGGUAACAUCAAAUCGUACCCCAAACCGACACAGGUGGUCAGGUAGAGAAUACCAAGGCGCUUGAGAGAACUCGGGUGAAGGAACUAGGCAAAAUGGUGCCGUAACUUCGGGAGAAGGCACGCUGACACGUAGGUGAAGUGAUUUACUCAUGGAGCUGAAGUCAGUCGAAGAUACCAGCUGGCUGCAACUGUUUAUUAAAAACACAGCACUGUGCAAACACGAAAGUGGACGUAUACGGUGUGACGCCUGCCCGGUGCCGGAAGGUUAAUUGAUGGGGUCAGCGCAAGCGAAGCUCCUGAUCGAAGCCCCGGUAAACGGCGGCCGUAACUAUAACGGUCCUAAGGUAGCGAAAUUCCUUGUCGGGUAAGUUCCGACCUGCACGAAUGGCGUAAUGAUGGCCAGGCUGUCUCCACCCGAGACUCAGUGAAAUUGAACUCGCUGUGAAGAUGCAGUGUACCCGCGGCAAGACGGAAAGACCCCGUGAACCUUUACUAUAGCUUGACACUGAACAUUGAGCCUUGAUGUGUAGGAUAGGUGGGAGGCUUUGAAGUGUGGACGCCAGUCUGCAUGGAGCCGACCUUGAAAUACCACCCUUUAAUGUUUGAUGUUCUAACGUGGACCCGUAAUCCGGGUUGCGGACAGUGUCUGGUGGGUAGUUUGACUGGGGCGGUCUCCUCCUAAAGAGUAACGGAGGAGCACGAAGGUUGGCUAAUCCUGGUCGGACAUCAGGAGGUUAGUGCAAUGGCAUAAGCCAGCUUGACUGCGAGCGUGACGGCGCGAGCAGGUGCGAAAGCAGGUCAUAGUGAUCCGGUGGUUCUGAAUGGAAGGGCCAUCGCUCAACGGAUAAAAGGUACUCCGGGGAUAACAGGCUGAUACCGCCCAAGAGUUCAUAUCGACGGCGGUGUUUGGCACCUCGAUGUCGGCUCAUCACAUCCUGGGGCUGAAGUAGGUCCCAAGGGUAUGGCUGUUCGCCAUUUAAAGUGGUACGCGAGCUGGGUUUAGAACGUCGUGAGACAGUUCGGUCCCUAUCUGCCGUGGGCGCUGGAGAACUGAGGGGGGCUGCUCCUAGUACGAGAGGACCGGAGUGGACGCAUCACUGGUGUUCGGGUUGUCAUGCCAAUGGCACUGCCCGGUAGCUAAAUGCGGAAGAGAUAAGUGCUGAAAGCAUCUAAGCACGAAACUUGCCCCGAGAUGAGUUCUCCCUGAGACUUAGAGUCUCCUGAAGGAACGUUGAAGACGACGACGUUGAUAGGCCGGGUGUGUAAGCGCAGCGAUGCGUUGAGCUAACCGGUACUAAUGAACCGUGAGGCUUAACCUUACAACGCCGAAG
rnacentral:rRNA from 1 species